AGUGUGUACUAAGUUUGUGUAUGUACCAGUAAGCUUGUCUUUGAGUGUCAGUGAGCUUAUUCGUGUGUAUCAGUGAGCUUGUGUUUUUAUGUCAAUGAGCUUAUGUGUUUCAAUAAGAUUGACUGUGAGCUGUGUAUCAAUGAGCUUGUCAGUGAGAUUGUCUGUAUGUGAGUAUACUUAUUGUAUAAUUAAUUUUUUUACACUAACAGAACCCAUAUUUUGAAUUAGAAAAAGAAACAUAC